rnacentral:rRNA from 1 species
UAGGGAAUCUUCCGCAAUGGACGAAAGUCUGACGGAGCAACGCCGCGUGAGUGAUGAAGGUUUUCGGAUCGUAAAACUCUGUUAUUAGGGAAGAACAAAUGCGUAAGUAACUGUGCGCAUCUUGACGGUACCUAAUCAGAAAGCCACGGCUAACUACGUGCCAGCAGCCGCGGUAAUACGUAGGUGGCAAGCGUUAUCCGGCAUUAUUGGGCGUAAAGCGCGCGUAGGCGGUUUCUUAAGUCUGAUGUGAAAGCCCACGGCUCAACCGUGGAGGGUCAUUGGAAACUGGGAAACUUGAGUACAGAAGAGGAAAGUGGAAUUCCAUGUGUAGCGGUGAAAUGCGCAGAGAUAUGGAGGAACACCAGUGGCGAAGGCGACUUUCUGGUCUGUAACUGACGCUGAUGUGCGAAAGCGUGGGGAUCAAACA